CGUGGUUAACCUGCCCUUGGGACGGAAACACCCCCGGGAAACUGGGGCUAAUUUCCGAUAGGUGAAGGCUCCUGGAAUGGAUCUUCGCCUAAAGGGCGCUUAGGCCAUGCUUCUAGGCGCUGCCCAAGGAUGGGGCCGCGGCCGAUCAGGUUGUUGGUGAGGUAAUGGCUCACCAAGCCUUUAACCGGUUCGGGCCGUGGGAGCGGGAGCCCGGAGAUGGGCACUGAGACAAGGGCCCAGGUCCUACGGGGCGCAGCAGUCGCGAAAACUCCGCAAUACGCGAAGGCGUGACGGGGCUAUCCCGAGUGCCGUCCGCUGAGGAUGGCUUUUCCCCAGUGUAGAUAGCUGGGGGAAUAAGGAGAGGGCAAGUCUGGUGUCAGCCGCCGCGGUAAUACCAGCUCUCCGAGUGGUGGGGACGUUUAUUGGGCCUAAAGCAUCCGUAGCCAGCUGAGCAAGUCCCCAGUUAAAUCCAGCGAUUUAAUCGUUGGACUGCUGGGGAUACUGUCCGGCUAGGGGGUGGGAGAGGCCGACGGUAUUCCCGGGGUAGGGGUGAAAUCCUAUAAUCCCGGGAGGACCACCAGUGGCGAAGGCUGUUGGCUAAAACAUGCCCGACGGUGAGGGAUGAAAGCUGGGGGAGCGAACCGGAUUAGAUACCCGGGUAGUCCCAGCUGU
rnacentral:rRNA from 1 species